AGGGACCAGAGGGCCACAUGGGGAAACCCUUCAGUGGGGUUGGAUCACCUGGAAAUUCCCUGAGACUGGAGUAACUCUCUGAAUCAAGGCUGUCCAAGGGUGGAGGCCAAAUAAUCGGCUCAAAGUUCGUUAGCCCCUACAAGGACCAAGUUCCAGGCCUUCCCAAGCCUGUGGUGAGCAAAGAGCGACCUCUCCUGCCCCAGUCUUCAACCCUCGUCCCAUCCUAUCUGCCCCAGCUUCUCUCCU
rnacentral:lncRNA from 1 species